rnacentral:rRNA from 1 species
GACGAACGCUGGCGGCGUGCUUAACACAUGCAAGUCGAGCGGUAAGGCCCUUUCGGGGGUACACGAGCGGCGAACGGGUGAGUAACACGUGGGUGACCUGCCCUCAGCUCUGGGAUAAGCCCGGGAAACUGGGUCUAAUACUGGAUAUGACUCCACGGUGCAUGCCGUGGGGUGGAAAGCCUUGUGCGGCUGAGGAUGGGCCCGCGGCCUAUCAGCUUGUUGGUGGGGCGAUGGCCUACCAAGGCGACGACGGGUAGCCGGCCUGAGAGGGCGACCGGCCACACUGGGACUGAGACACGGCCCAGACUCCCACGGGAGGCAGCAGUGGGGAAUCUUGCGCAAUGGGCGAAAGCCUGACGCAGCGACGCCGCGUGAGGGAUGACGGCCU